rnacentral:rRNA from 1 species
AUUGAACGCUGGCGGCAUGCUUUACACAUGCAAGUCGAACGGUAACAGGCCGCAAGGUGCUGACGAGUGGCGAACGGGUGAGUAAUGCAUCGGAACGUGCCCAGUCGUGGGGGAUAACUACUCGAAAGAGUAGCUAAUACCGCAUACGAUCUAUGGAUGAAAGCGGGGGACCGUAAGGCCUCGCGCGAUUGGAGCGGCCGAUGUCAGAUUAGGUAGUUGGUGGGGUAAAGGCUCACCAAGCCCACGAUCUGUAGCUGGUCUGAGAGGACGACCAGCCACACUGGGACUGAGACACGGCCCAGACUCCUACGGGAGGCAGCAGUGGGGAAUUUUGGACAAUGGGCGCAAGCCUGAUCCAGCAAUGCCGCGUGCAGGAAGAAGGCCUUCGGGUUGUAAACUGCUUUUGUACGGAACGAAACGGCUCUGGUUAAUACCCGGGGCUAAUGACGGUACCGUAAGAAUAAGCACCGGCUAACUACGUG